rnacentral:rRNA from 1 species
GUGUCAGCAGCCGCGGUAAUACAGAGAGUGCGAACGUUGUUCGGAAUCACUGGGCUUAAAGCGCACGUAGGCGGCAUCGUAAGUGUCGGGUGAAAUCCCACGGCUCACCCGUGGAACUGCCCGGCAGACUGCGAUGCUCGAGUGUGGUAGGGGAGAACGGAACUCCUGGUGGAGCGGUGAAAUGCGUAGAUAUCAGGAGGAACACCGGUGGCGAAGGCGGUUCUCUGGUCCACAACUGACGCUGAGGUGCGAAAGCUAGGGGAGCAAACGGGAUUAGAAACCCUCGUAGUCC